ensembl:lncRNA
CUAUAUUCUCUGCUCAGAUUGAGCCAAGUGCUGAAAAACAGGUCAGACAGCGCUUCACAGUGAAAAUUGUUGAUGAGCCAAAGCAAACUACUAAAGAAACCAAGGACAUUUUCAAGGCAGAGAACUGGGAUAUUUUUGCAAUGGCCAACUCAGUCACGUGAUAUCAGCUACACGAAGCAUGCUUUCCAGUUUUUGAAGACAGAAACAACAUGCAGCAACUGGAGGGGUGUCGAAACAUAAGGCCGCGGGUCUAUGUCAAACAUUUGUCAAAUACCGCUCCUUCAUACUGCGGCCGCUUUUAUUCGCUGAGAGCUCAGCCCGUCAUGCACCACCAGGAAAUGGAGGAGGAUGAUGAUGAUGAU